rnacentral:lncRNA from 1 species
UGGCAUUCAUACUUCGGAAGUUGUUAGAAUGGAAAACCGUGCUCAGACUUCUGGAACGCAGUGUGUUCAGUUCCGCAGGCCAGGAAUGGCCUCCAUGGGGAGAUGCUGCUGAGACUUGGCCUGUCACAGAGGACUGGGCCACAGCCAGAUAGGCGAGAGACAGGCAGUGGCCUUUCCUGGCAGAAGGGCCUGUGUGAGUGACAGCAAUGAACUAGGGUGCCAGGCAAAGGCCAGCUGUUUAGUGAAUAGACUCGAUAUUCUCAGUGACACUCAGGCUGGAAGGGUCAAAAUGAGUCAUGCAGGCUACUGAACACCAUAUGAAAACUGGGCCUUAUCCUGUGGGCCAUAGGGAGCCACUGACGGUUUAUGAGCAGCAGAGUGACUUGGUCUGAUUUUCAUGGGGAAAGAAUGUUAAGACUGAGAAACAAUUCAGGGAACUGUGGGAAACAUCACUGUGAUCCUGGAUAUCUGGUUUUCCUCCACUUCCAGUCAUAUAAAACUGUACUUCCUAUACUUUUUUAGGCAUGACCAUGUGACUUUUUU